GGGCCUGCGACCGAUUAGCUAGUUGGUGAGGUAAAGGCUCACCAAGGCCGAGAUCGGUAGCUGUUCUGAGAGGAAGACCAGCCACACGGGAACUGAGACACGGUCCCGACUCCUACGGGGGGCAGCAGUGAGGAAUAUUGCACAAUGGGGGGAACCCUGAUGCAGCAACGCCGCGCGAAGGAAGAAGGUCUUUGGAUUGUAAACUUCUUUUAACGGGGAAGGGACGGUACCCGUUGAAUAAGUCACGGCUAACUACGUGCCAGCAGCCGCGGUAACACGUAGGUGGCGAGCGUUAUCCGGAAUUAUUGGGCGUAAAGGGCGCGCAGGCGGCGGCUCAAGUCUGACGUGAAAGCUCCUGGCUUAACUGGGAGAGGUCGUUGGAAACUGAGGUACUUGAGGCAAUGAGAGGGGUGCGGAAUUCCCGGUGUAGUGGUGGAAUGCG
rnacentral:rRNA from 1 species